CCCUUAGAUGUUCUGGGCCGCACGCGUGCUACACUGAGUGGAUCAGCGGGUCAGGUUGCGCGAAAGUGUUUCCUAAUCUUGAAAUCCGCUCGUGAUGGGGAUUGACGGUUGCAAUUUUCCGUCAUGAACGAGGAAUACCUUGUAAGCGCGGGUCAUCAUCCCGCGCUGAAUACGUCCCUGCCCUUUGUACACACCGCCCGUCGCUCCUACUGAUUGAGUGGUCCGGUGAGGCUUUGGGAUCUGAGCGGAAAGAGCGUUUCGCUGUUUCUGCUCGGAAAACUCAGUCGAACCUUAUCAUUUAGAGGAAGGAGAAGUCGUAACA
rnacentral:rRNA from 1 species